GGUUCGGUGGUGUAGUUGGUUAUCACACCAGUCUAACAUGUUCCUUCUCAUGGUCCACUGGUGGUCCCCGGUUCGAGCCCGGGCCGAAUCA